rnacentral:rRNA from 1 species
GAUGAACGCUGGCGGCGUGCCUAAUACAUGCAAGUCGAGCGAACAGACGAGGAGCUUGCUCCUCUGACGUUAGCGGCGGACGGGUGAGUAACACGUGGAUAACCUACCUAUAAGACUGGGAUAACUUCGGGAAACCGGAGCUACUACCGGAUAAUAUAUUGAACCGCAUGGUUCAAUAGUGAAAGACGGUUUUGCUGUCACUUAUAGAUGGAUCCGCGCCGCAUUAGCUAGUUGGUAAGGUAACGGCUUACCAAGGCAACGAUGCGUAGCCGACCUGAGAGGGUGAUCGGCCACACUGGAACUGAGACACGGUCCAGACUCCUACGGGAGGCAGCAGUAGGGAAUCUUCCGCAAUGGGCGAAAGCCUGACGGAGCAACGCCGCGUGAGUGAUGAAGGUCUUCGGAUCGUAAAACUCUGUUAUUAGGGAAGAACAAAUGUGUAAGUAACUAUGCACGUCUUGACGGUACCUAAUCAGAAAGCCGCGGCUAACUACGUG